GAAAUACCCUUAUGGGGCAGGACUUGCUUCAGUGGGGCUUUGAUGCUCACUGAGUCUUCCCUUUGAUUGUGUCGCU
rnacentral:pre_miRNA from 1 species